rnacentral:tRNA from 4 species
GGUCCUGUAGUUCAACGGAUAGAAUAGAAGUUUCCUAAACUUUAGAUAGGGGUUCGAUUCCCCUCGGGACUAC